GUGGGAACUCUGUGCUUUCUGUUCGAUAUGUCUGUAAAUCUAAAAAAAUAAGUCUGUUAAUGAAAAACAUAUAUACUGAGAAACUGUGUCAGGUUUACAAAGAUGAAACAAUUAAACAGUCCCAGCCAUUACUUUUAAGGAUCCACUGUCUGGUGUAAGAGACAGCAUCAUAUGUCAGCUUUCAUGGGGAAGUCAGGAAGGACAUGAGAUGGACAGCGCCCAGGAUGAAACACUCAGCUCCUUGCAGGAGAGGGACCAGGAGAGGCUUCUGUCAAUGCUAAAGUGUCAUGAAAAUACAAGCCAGUGAUUAUUAUUGGGGUUGCCGUGGCUCCUGCGGUAUCUCACGUACAGAUUUCAAUAUUUACAUGACUCAGCUCUGCAGCUUUAUUUAUCCUCCCUCCCAGAGCUCUGGAAAGCAGGAACUGGGAUUUUCUUCUAGGUGUUGUGGAAACCAUCGGAUAAUUGUCAUCAGGGGAGUUUGAAAUAUCAUUCUGGCUGCUGUAUGGUAAAGGGAUUGAGGAGCAAGAAGGGAAGGCAACUCGAAGGCCAAGUCUAAGGUGAAGUAAGAAUAAUAGUGACUGGGGCUAAAAUGCCAGCAACGGAGACAGGGGGAGGGAAGCAGAGAGAUUCAAGAUGUAUUCUGCAGGAAAAGUCAGCUUCCCAGGUCAAAAAACUGCUCAAGCCAUCUGAAGGACAGAGAAUUCAGUGAUCAUGCCUAGAUUUCUGGCUUAAACAAUUGCAAAAUGAUGAGGUUUAUCAAUCCGGGAAGACGAGCAUUGAAAAAAUAAAAGUGCGGGUUAACAAAAGUUGAAUUUCUAUGUUGCCAGCGUUAAGCCUGAAAUGCACAUUUUACAUGCACAUGGAGAUGUUAUGUCAGCUUCUUGAUGCAGAAUUAUAGAUGUUGACAAAGAACUUUGAGGUACUCCAACCUUUAAAUAUCAAUUAAAAGAGGAGCCAGCAAAGUGGGUGCGAUGAAUAGCCCAGGGAAGAGAAAAUAAACCAGGAGAACACACUGAUAGAAAAUCCAAAAGGAAAACGGCGAAAAGAAGGAAGGGUCAGCUGGAUCCAGUGUUGCCGUGGGAUCUUCUGUGAUAAGAGCAUUGACUAAUGGACUUGGCAAUGAGAAAAAUCGCUGGAGAUUUUCUCAAGAUCAACAUUGUGAGGUGGAGGGGACAGAUGGCCAGAGGGAGAGAAAGGUGGAGGACGGAGCAAUGGGAAACGGAUGAAGGGGUCAUCAAAAACAAGGAAAACCUAAAAAACUGGCAGAGCCAAGACAGCCCAAGGCAACAUGAUGACUAAAAGUAAUGUGGGAUCCUGGAAGAGAAAAGGAAUGUCCGUGAACAACUCGAAAAUCUGAAUAAGGAAGCCAGAGAAAGAAAAGUAACGGAAGCCUAGAGCAAGCAGAAAAUGAAUAAAUAACAAAAAAUACAGCAGAAAUCAAUGCAUUUUAAAAAUUAGAAAACAACAGAGAAAAUCAAUGAAACCAAAAAUAGAUUUUUAAAAAAAAUCAAUCAAGUUGAAAACCUCUAGCUAGUCCAACCAAGAAAAUAAGGGAGAAGAUGCAAAUUACUAAUAUCAGAAACGGGAGAGCUCUAUCUCUGCAGGGUCCUGUGAGCGUUAAAAUGGAAUAUGAUGAAGAACUGAUUCCACACCUGCAAAUGUGGUAACUUAAAUACAGUGGACCAAAUCCUUAAGUCUACAAACUAUCAAAAUUCACACAUGGAGAGACAGAGAGCUUGAAUGGCUUUAUAUCCAUAAAUGAAAUUGAAUCAGUCAUUAAUAGCCUUCCAGAAAACGAAGCCUCAGGCCCAGAUGUUUCACUGGUGAAUCCUAUCAACCUUUUAAGGAAGAAAUUAUACCAAUUCUUCACAUUUCUGCCAGAAACUAAAAGCAGACAAAACACUUCCAAACUCAUUCUACAAAGUCAGCAUUACACUAAUAGCAAACCAGUUAAAGACGUUAGAGAAAGGAAAAUUAUACACAAAUCUCACUGAAAAGCACAGAUGCAAAUAAACCUAACAAGAUAUUAGUGAAAAGCAUCCAGCAGUGUGUAAAAUGAAUGAUAGGCCACAGUGAAGUGGGUCUUACUCCAGGCAUGAAUUAUAUUCCUUUUUCAAAGUUCCUCACCACCUUGUUGACUUUCUGAACCUGUUAAUAAUUUGUGGUUUCUAUUGUACACAGCUGUUGUCCCUGUCUUCAGAGGGAUUGAUGGAUCAAUUGAGUUGGCCCGCCAUAACCAGAAGCAGACUCUUUGGUCUGUCUUUAUUCCACUUUGAAUUUCCCAGCAUGUGGCAAAUUACUGGGUACUCAGCAGGGAUUCAUUAAAUAUUAGGUAAUUGAGUAAAUAAGUAAGGAGAUGAUAUGGUUAGGCUUCGUGGCCCCACCCAAAUCUCAUCCUGAAUUGUGAUUCCCGUGAUCCCCACAGGUCAAAGGAGAGACCAGGUGGAGGGAACUGAAUCCUGGGGGCGGUUCCCCCAUGCUGUUCUCAUGAUAGUGAGUUCUCACCAGAUCUGAUGGUUUCAUAAGGGGCUCUUUCCCCUUCACUCGACACUUCUCCUUCCUGCCGCCUAGUGAAGAAGGUGCCUGCUUCUCCUUUGCUUUCUGUCAUGAUUGCAAGUUUCCUGGGGCCUCCCCAGCCAAGCUGAGCUGUGAGUCAAUUACUCAUUUGUCAGCAGUUCUUUUUUUUUUUUUCCCACGACAAAGUCUCACUCUGUCACCCAGGCUGGAGUGCAAUGGCACAAUCUCGACUCACUGCAACCUCUCCUCCUGGGUUCAAGCGAUUCUCCUGCCCCAGCCUCCCAAGUAGCUGAGAUUACAAGUGCACGCCACCGCACCCAGCUAAUUUUUGUAUUUUUAGUAUAGAUGGGGUUUCACCAUGUUGGUCAGGCUGAUCUCGAACUCCUGACCUCGUGAUCCACCCACCUCGGCCUCCCAAAGUGCUGGGAUUACAGGCGUGAGCCACUGCGCCCAGCUGGCAGUUCUUUAUAGCAGUGUGAAAAUGGACUAAUACAGGAGACAAUAUGUCUUUUUUUAUUUGUUGUAGUGAUUGCAAUACAUAAAUAAUGUUUUCUUACUUUUUCUAGUCUCUGAGCUUCUGAAAUGUGGGAACAUUGUUCUUUCUCACACAUGUAGCUUAGGCUAAGCCUGAAAUUUUGUUUGGUGUUGAGAUAGCUGGGAUGGAGCUACACUGAAGACCGUCUGGUGGCGAAAGGCUUGCAUUCUUUUUAUGCAAAUUGCAUGCUUCUGAAGGCAGACAAUUGGUUUAAGUUGAGUUGAUUGUAUUUGGAUUAGUGGGAGUCCAGAG
rnacentral:lncRNA from 1 species